AAGUCCCGCAACGAGCGCAACCCUUAUCCUUUGUUGCCAGCGAUUCGGUCGGGAACUCAAAGGAGACUGCCGGUGAUAAACCGGAGGAAGGUGGGGAUGACGUCAAGUCAUCAUGGCCCUUACGAGUAGGGCUACACACGUGCUACAAUGGCGCAUACAAAGAGAAGCGACCUCGCGAGAGCAAGCGGACCUCAUAAAGUGCGUCGUAGUCCGGAUCGGAGUCUGCAACUCGACUCCGUGAAGUCGGAACCGCUAGUAAUCGUGGAUCAGAAUGCCACGGUGAAUACGUUCCCGGGCCUU
rnacentral:rRNA from 1 species